UGCCAUAGCAAGUAUAGCACCUAGACUGAUGGAAGACUCCUCUUGGCAUAAGAAGCUUGCUUUAAGAUGAGCUAACCCCUGUAAAAUUUACAAAAGAAGCUGCUCAAGAAAAACUUUUUGCAGCAAAAACAAACAAAAUGGCCCCUGUCCACAUAAAGACAAAAGGGCCAGCUAAGGAUCCUAACUAGUAACAAAACAUCCUGAAAUUUUGACAACUAGAACUCUUAAGUAAUCAAAGAGAAAAUCAGCACCAUAUCAAAAUAUGAGCCAAUCCACACAAGAUGUCAAUAACAGUAAGGAGCGGUAGACAGAGUUGCAACCGCUCCCUAGCCUUCAGAAUAUCCGCAGAGCAAAGAAAGAACGUCCUGCACUCCAACAGCCCGGCACCCCACAAAGCCAAACCUCAACCGCAAAACACAAAGCAAACAGCAGGACGGAAACCCCCUUGACCUUGGCAGAGAAACGGAAAGGAGAAAAAGGAAGUCCUCCAUCAGCUCAUCUUGACUGCUGUUCUUAAGAAUCAUCCAUCAAAACUCCAAAACGCAACCGCAGCCUUGUCAACCAAACCCCGUCCCAAACCUAUGAUAACUAUUCCUUAACCACACCCUCCAAGAUCAACAAGCAGAGGAUCAGAGACGGCAGAGACACUUCCUCGUGAAGACCCCCCACCAAGACAACAAAAACCACCCGUCCCACAACCCUUCACUCCCCGACUUCAACCAACCUCAAGAAGCAAAAGAAGAUAACAGCAAUCACAUCCAACCAUGCCCCAUGCAUGCAUCCGCCUCCCCUUCCCCCUAAUGAAAAGAACCUAACCCAAAAGCAUGAAGGAUCAAGCCACAAUAAAAAGCAAACAUGGUUGAUUCCCAAAUAACAAGGAGAAAAUCUGUAUACAACAAGGAAAGCAAGCAAAUUUGCCCCCCGUGAGAGCAAGCUCCCUAGGCCCAGCCAUUUCAAAGCCAAUUCAAGUGGUCCAAAGGCUUUU